GUCACCUAAAAUUCUGGAGCGGGCGAUGACUUCCACAACCCGGUCCAACAUAUGCCCCCAAACUAAAACAAACAAACUCAUUUGCCAUACAAAUUGUUUACGAUUCAUUAAAACGCAAAAUUGCAUAUCCCAGAGCUGGCAGCUGAGGCCGGCCGUGGAGGGCAUUCACUGCGUGCCUUUGUAUGCUGUGCGGAGCACCCAGCCGGGCUCCCACCAGGAGCAGAGCCCGUGCAGCCGGACAGCGGUGAGGACCCUUGGAAAUGUGAAACCUUCGGAAAGCAACUUGACUUUGAAUGCAGCAUAUAAUCACUGCUAACACACCCUGUGUAUGCUCUUGGCCCAGCACUGUUCCAAGUUCUUUCUGUUUUUCCAGGUCUUCCUCCAAUGGAAUCAGGUGUUGAACACGAAGAUGGUCCUCAGAGCCUCACUGUGUGACCCUCCCCUGGGUGUCUCAUCACUUGUGGGCUGUGGGCUCUGGGCUGAGAGGAAGGAGCCACUUGAAAGCUUCCUGUUUCUGCCUGCCCUGUCCACGUCUGGCAACUACUGCUCUGCUUUCAAGCGUCUGUGAGUUGGCCAAUCUGGAUGUCUCGCACUAUGGUCCUCCUGUGUGCCUCCCACUACUUGCUUCUCAUACUUGGCAUCCACACAUGACAACUUUUUCAUCAUGGGAAGAACAUGGAAGUCCUCAAAUUCACCAGAGUGUCACUGAGGAAAGCACUAUCUUCCCAGCUCCUUCUGUGUUGCUUAGGAAGAUCUUGUGAUUGGCUGUGUCUGGAAUUCCAGUUGAGGAAUCAGGUUUCCUAAUGCAGGAGCUCGGUCUCCAUUUGCUGUCUUGCUUUGUCUGCUACUUACACCCAUUACUCCCCCAGAGGACCUGGACCACACAGACGAGAAAACCGAGCUUCAGAGAGGCCGAGGCUGCACAGCUGGCACAUGGCAGACUUGAAGACAAACCAUCAGAACCAGAGCACUGCUCAUGACCACGAGAGAUGCUGCUUCCUGGGUGACAGGCACAGAACAUGACAGAGAGCAGAUACUGGAAAUAUCACAUGGCCACAAAGACUUGAGGGUUUGAGCAGUGAACUGAUUAUUUGUAUUCCCUUCCUGGUGACUUUAAAAUUGAGCUGCAGCCCUGCAGGAAAUUUGUGUAGUCAGAAGGAAAGUAAGUCUCCUCAGACCUGUUGUCACUCUGUUGCUUGGAACUGCACCAUCCCUUGUCCAUUCCCUUAAUUGAGCUCAUAAUUCUCCAAAUAGGAGUGCAGUGAGGUCUCCACAUUUGAACCAUCUGGGAAGGAAUUUUUUUUUGCCUGUGAUCCAGAAUGACCAAGGCAGUAGUCAAGGGGUAACAGGGACCAAAGGAUUAAAAGAUGUAACAGGCAGCAAAGCCUGUUAGUCCAUCACUGUGAGCAAUGAUGAUGAGUCAUAACACAUACUCACAAAUGUUGACACUUUGCAGUUGUAAUGUGCUGUCACUUGUUUUAUCAUGAGCCAACAAAUAAUAACAAAUAGUAGUGUUACAGAGCAAACACAGGAAAAAUCAGCAGUGAGGAGGUUUAGGAGGCAUCUUAUUACACAGGUAGGUUUGACUGGGAUCUCUCUUAAAGAGUCAGAUCCCCAACCAGAAGGAUUUUGGGGCUUUCAUGUGGAGAUCAAGGGGGAGGUGCAGAGGCAGAUUUAGUGCAUUAUGAUUGGAGGAUUGGGUGACAUCACAGGUUGCCAAGGGAGCUUAAACAUUAACUUAACAUUUCAGGUUUCAUUGCAAGGCCAUCAGUUAUACAAAGACAGUAAAGGCAGGGGUUAUACAAUGAAAAAAAUGUUCUGUUAUCAGGCCUGUCCAGACAUGUGUGCCUGAUUUUUGAGGGUGUUCUUUGCAGGCUUUAUUUAAAAUUUUAAUUUCCCUUUCAGUAGGACUUGUAAUUUACAUUUUAGACAAGACAACUAUGUCUCAGAAGUUACUUUACACCAGGUCUCCCUGGUAACAGGGUGGAGCUUUGGAUCCCAGGACUGAGAUACCCACAGUAUCUUUCUGCCACUUGUGCACCUCCCCUUAGAAGUCAGUCCUCUUUCACAAGGUUUCCUGCAGUGAGCAGGCAAGCCAUGUCUAAAUCACUCUAGGACUCCCCAGGAACUUGUAUGUCACACAUGGCUAGAUUCAAAGGAAACAAAACUUUGCUGUCCACCCCACCCUGGGACUUGUCUCCUUGUGUGAGUUGAAGAAAACAAAUAAAGUGUGCCAACCCCAUGAACAGUAUUGGUCUAGAAAGCAGCCUGUUAAAAGAUCCCAGUGGCUGAAAGCAAUCGGACCAAAUACUGCAAGAGCUCAAAAGCCAAGACACCAUGCUGAUGACUUUAUUGAGCUUUUGGAAAAGAUCCCCUUUUCAACAUACUGGAUACUCCCCACCAGAACUUUGCAAGUUUCUGGAGAUCAACCUUGGCUGACUGCAGUUUCAGAUCCAACAGCUUCUUCUGAGGACCUGCUCUGCUCUUGAUGUUUCAUAUAGGCAUUAUAUCCUCCUAAUUUCCAAGGCAUCCUGGAGAGGGAGCCUUCAAUCUUCCAUCAUAGAAGAGAAAGUGGCCAUGGAGAGGAACAGGAGGGAAACACUGAAUAAACUCCUCGAUGUCCAGCGUGGAGUCCAGGGCCUCCUACUCAGACGCAGAUGUACUCUCUAAUGGAGUAAACUGCUCUGAAAUCCACUUGCCUCCAAGAUACAGUUGUACCAAAUUGCUCCAGGUCUGUGAACAUGGCCCACCUUAUGCCGCUGAGGCUCAUGACCACCAUGAACUUCCCAAUUCCCCAUGUGAGGAAUGUCUGCAUUUAUUUUAGAAUCAAAGGUUGUCUUCUCUUUGAAGACUUCCUGAUACCUUCCCUCAUCAGUGGUAACUCUAGACCCAAUCACUCCUUUUCCUGUGCUCUGUAAGAAAGGACUUGCCAGUGGGAGUGUGGGCUUGUCACUUAUAUGUGCAUUCCUCAAGCCCUGAUAAGCUCUCUCCGGAUGCAGCCCUCCCUGGGCCCACAGCAGAUGUUGAUGCUUAGCAGGGGUGAAUUCUCAUCCUCUGAGUGGAGGAGUCGAGAAUGGCAUCUUUCUCUGGUCCUCACACAUGCUGGUUACACAAUGGCAAUUUAUAUCUUUGCUCUCAGAUCAGACCAGGCUUUGGCUGGAUGCCUAAAAGUAGAGUGGACAUAAAUUAACAGUGGAGCAAUUUAUAGUCUGUCAUGUCUUAUUGCUUAAUGAAUUUGUCAAAAAUCAUAUUACUCUGAAAAUUAUGGCAAGAAGGGUCCAUGGGGCUUAUGUCUUUAAGAGGGAGAGUGUUCCAGCCUCACUGAGCAGAGCUGCCUGAUCACUUUCCCCUUUUUAAUGCAGACAGCAGACUCUCCGAGCACUUCUGUUUAUUUAUCAAAUCUCUGUUGACCUUCAUUUUGCAUUAGGGCUACCAGGGAUGACCUUGGCCAGUUUACAAAUCCCUAACCCCAGUCCACCUGCUGUCAGAGCCAAAUAGGAUUUAGAAGUCCCUCUUACACUCCGAUUCCAUGCUAAUAUGAUGUCAUACAUUUCUGGCUUAUGUUCAUCCUACACUUCAUUAGUCACUUCUCAAAUCAGCCAACGCUUUGUCCUCUGUAAUGAGGGCACCAAGCAGAACCCCCUUUCAGCUCUGCCCCAAUUUCUUUCCAACCUGUCUUCUUCCAUUUUCUUCCUCUUUCUGCACCCAUCUGCUGCCCAAACCUCUCCAGGGCUUUGCUCCUCUCUGUUGUUCGGGGUCUGAAUUCUGUUUGAGUGGUGCCAUUUUAAAGGGUAGAAAGUCAGGCUUGGGUCAGACUUGGGUCUAGACAGUCUUCUUCAUUUGUUAACUGGAAAUAGUAACACCUAAAAGAGCGAUAGGAUGAGGAUUAGUGUGCCUAACCUCCAUCCACACACACACUCAUCCACCCAUCCACACACACACUCAUCCACCCACCCACCCUAUUCUUCUGUCCAUCCAUUCACCCAUGCUUUUAUCCAAAACUCGUGUUUUCAUUUAGUAAAUGUUACAGCACUGCUGGAAUACUUAAAAUGAGUCAGUCCCAAUGCUUGGCAUUUAGGAUACAUAGUUGAAUUCUAGUCACAGUUCUCAAGGAUUUUGGAGUCUAAUGGAAUGAAAAAAUGAAGAGAUACAUACAAACUAAUAUGGAGACUUUAGUGAUUGAGAGAGACAUGUUCCCCUGCAUUCUUGAAAGGCUCCUGGGAGCAUGCAGACAGCUGCGAAGCUCUGUUCAUGGCGCUGUCCUUGGGACUGGGGCAGGAGUGAUAGGGAGCUGCUGUGAAUCCAGCUUUUACAGUGGCUGUUCAGGUUCCUACUGUCUCCAUCAGUUUCUUUCUGUAUAUUUCUGAUUUUGUUUUUCUUUAUAUCUAUUUCUCCCUUAAUAUCCCAUUUGUCUUAUAGCUCUUUGGAGGUCAUGUGCCUAUGGAUAAGCUGGUGGCAUUUGGAAGUUUUUUUUGUUGUUGUUGUUUUUGUUUCAGUGCUGGGGGUCAAAUUUGAGACCUCAUGUAUGUUAGGCAAGUGCCCUACUACUGGGCUACAAUCCCAGUCCCAAGUUGGAUCUUUUUCUUACAUGUUUUUCCAAAGGAAAAAUUACCCCAUGGCACCUGAACAUGCAGAAGAGCCAGGGUCCCCUGGAGGCAGUGAGGAUAGACCCCAGAGGUGUCAGGUGCCCAGACAGCUCCCUGGCUCCUCCUAAGUUCUGUCUGCUUGGCUACUUGGAAGCAGCCCAGCCAGCAAACAGUUAACUAAAACUCUGUUCGCCCAUUUCAUUUCCAUCUCUUUGUUCUGUGCAACCAAAGAGCUAAUGGCUGGCGAAUUUAUUAUGACCCAUUGUUUGGUUUGUAGAAUCAACCAAUUCUUUCCCUUUCUAUGUUCUGACUCCCCCUUUGUCUGAAAUUUUAUUUUAUGGUUCUUUUUGUACAUAUCCAACACAUGCUGAGGUUAUUGAAAAAGCACAAAUGACACAGAAUUCAAUUUGCAUAUCUAUGGAGGGUCCUAUCCCAGAGUCCUCGCCAGGCAAAGUGCCCACUGACUCCUGCAUCUUUCCCUAUGCUUACUUUGGCAUCAGCUCUGCCAGGCUGCCCUUGCCGCACCUGGCGGACCUGUGCAUGGCCUUCAGGGUAGCUUCAGCAUUGCCCUGCAGAGCACAAUGUGCUGGGCUGCAGGAGGUUCCAGGAAUGUCCCUCAGGAAACCUGGAAAGACAACAUUGUGCACAAGAGACCAGAGGGCAGCUCCACGGGGCCAAGUUAGCACCGAGGGACUGAAGAGAUUCAGGUGCCCUAGCCAGUAGGGCUGUAUGCUCUCUAACUGCUUUCUAUAAAAGCUAAACUUUUGGUUUUGGGGUAGUUGUAGACCCAUAGGUGUGAGAUGUGAGAAAUGACACAACGAGAGCUCAUGGACUCUUCUCAUGUGUUCAUCUCAGGCAUGCUUACUUAUCUAGCCAAGUUCCAUCCUUGCCAGCUAUACAACAAGAGCCAUAGCAGUGCACAGGGCUGUGAGACUCUGGAUGGCAUCUGUGAGACAUCUCAUCUGUUCUCAGUAACCACUGCCUUCCUCCCUACUGGUUAAAUGAUGAUGGCCACAUAACCCUGAUUAAUGGGGAGUAUUAGCCAGGACAGUCUCCAGUGCUCAUGCAUGGUUUUGAUCUAAAUUCUAUCAUGGAAAAUAGGACAUUUUAAGGUUUGAUGUAAAAAUGAUGCAUUUAGUAGAAGAUUAUAACUUAACAUCUAGUUAAAAUUACUGCUAAUAUUCUGCUGUAUGCCUCUCAUAGUUACAGAUUUAAAAAACAAAAGAUGUGAUUAUACCUCUCGUACUCUUUUGUAACCAUAAUAAAACAGGGCAGUCUAUUUUAGGACUGCAUGAUAUGAUAAAGAGAACCAUAUUUAAAAAAAAACUUUGAUACACAAUAUUUCACUACAGACAUUUUCUUUCUUCUCAUUCUCUUCUUUUUUUUUAAAAUUUUUAUUUAAAGAGAAAAAAAGCAAAACAGAAAAAAGGGUAGCAACAAUACAAAAUUCCAAAAAAAUACUAAGCAAUCACUACUUGAUAAAUUAUAUAUUGUCAUCUUAGAAAUAGUUGUUCAAGUUACAAAAUUAAAGCAUAAAAAGUGGACAUUCAAACAGUUCUGCUCAACAAUCCAACAAAAACUUAAUAAUAUGGUCAUCAAUCCUACACACUGAAACAUACAUGUAGUCAUAUCCUUUAUCUCAUUCUCUUCUAACUCCUCCUCGAACUCCUUCCCUCUUUCUCUUCUUCCCAUUCCUUCUUUUUCUACUUACAGUGAAGAGAUGUGCAUUAAACAUUCUUGAAUACAAAUCUUUGCACUUUUCCAUGAUUUGUCUUAGGAUGCAGGGAGUAAAUACUUAGAGCUUAAAAGGCCUGUCAAUCCUGUUUUUGAGACAUAGUGUUGUAGUCAGGGGUUGUGGGGAGAACAAUUAAAAUCAAGACAUGGAAUUUAUAAUAUUAUAUUAUGAUGGUCACCCAGAGUUAACACAAGAAACUUCAGGAAAUUUGUCCACAGCACCAGACACAGAAUAUUCAACCAAGGGCCUGGAUCCCACAGCAAUGUCCCAUAUAAGUCCAGAUGAAGACCCAGAGCUCCUGACAAUGCCUCCCACAAGUCCAACUGGAGGUCCAGAGCCCACAAGGACUCAUCAGUCUCUUUUACGAAUCUGUGCUGGGAAGGUCCAUAGGUUAGUGGUGGAAGCUAGAAAGUCAAUGCCAGAGGGGUGAUGGAGCUGUGCUGGUGGGUUGAGUGUUCUAUGCUAGACCUGAGAAAUCACGCUCAAAAAAAAAAAAAAAAAAAAAGACCAGGGCUGUCCUGAAAAGCACCACAGUCAACCUCAGCAACACAGAGGCCUGAGCUCUUCUGACAAUAAGCACAGUCAAGUACAUGCCAGGAAGCCAGCGUGAUGAGUUUGUCCUGGAGACCAAGCAGCACACAUCUUUUUCUCCGGAGCCAGGAAGCAAUGCUCAAUGUGAGGACCAGAGCUUCUCCAGGAGAAACAACGGCUCAAACAGCAACACGUAAGAGAACCCAAAAUGCUUCAAUGCCUCUUUUCUCCUUCCUCCAUGUCUCUACUUAUGCUGGCAACUUGCCUUGGGUGGAACAUCUCUGCUCAGCAGCAUGAUGAUUUAAUUCCACUGGCUCUAAGUUGACCACCAAUUUUAAUCUAUACCACAUAGUAAACCACAUUAUUGCCAAUUACUUAAAGAGGCAGUUCCUGAAUUGGGUUGUAUGUAAGAAUGAUCUUGAGAGAUUUUUAAGUUUAUACACUAAUACCAUGGUGCCGGACCACUCUGAGCUUGAACUUUCGACUACUCAAGCAGCAAAUUUUGAAAAACAUCUGCUCAUAUUCAUAAAUUUGCUUGACAUUUGAACUGAAAAUCAUGUCUCACUACAGACACAGAGGGUGACGCUUCAGUGAAAGCGUCGCUCUCACCCAGUAGAUGUACAGUGUGUCAGCGUGUUUAAACAUCCGGUAUUCUGCUGUUUUGCAUGCUUUGUGUUAGAAUAUCGUAACCAUGGCUCCAAAGAAGGUAAAACUGAUAGAAAAACUAUAAGAAUCACAACAGAGUUACAGAAAGAAAUCAUUGAAAAAUUUGUUAAAGUUCUGGAAAAAUAAAUUUAAUGUAAUUUUUGAA